rnacentral:lncRNA from 1 species
AGGGGCUCCAACGUAUUGGGAAGCUGGAAAGCUGGAAACCCCAGCGUUGCUGUUUUGCUGAGCCAGAGCACGCCGGCAGCUGAGAAACCACACUUCUCUUGUCUUUUCAGCCAAACCACGUUUGGUCCAUGCUGUCACUCCCACCUCCCGAUUAGAUGCCCGGAGUCCCUCUGCCACCUGCCACUCGGCGAGACCAGUCCAGCUGCCCUGACGUGGGAGGGAGAUGGGGAAGGCUGAGCUCUCCCAGCCCGGGAGGAGGUCACAGAGCAGAUGAGCGCCCCAGAGAUGAGCAGAAUCAACUGCCAGGAAGGGAAAGAGAGCUGCCUUUUCCAGAGAGCUGCAGGGUUGAGGAAGCAUCGUCGCUGGUCACUGUCCUUGUGUGGGAAGAUUUCAGGUAGAUUUCCAGCUAUUAAAAUGGAUCUCCACGUUACCUACCUACAGAACACAAGAAGAAAGGUAGGGGGCAGG